rnacentral:lncRNA from 1 species
CUCUGUAUUCCCCCGCUCUGAUAUUUGGCUUCCCGAUCCCGCAGAAGGCACAUAUAUGCGUCCAUCACAUGCUCGUAUAUCCAAAUUCCGGGUUGCAAAGAAUUCAUAUCUUGGUGAGUCAACGUGUACCAAAGUUGAGGAUGCGAAAUGGGAAAUUGAAGAUCAUUGGGGGGAGUCUCACCGAAGAAGUUCUCGUUGAUCAUUCCAAUCUUUGGCCCACGUAAUCUUUUUGUUAUAGACCCUUUAGGUCCAUAUGCUUCUACUGGAACAUCAUCACCAAUAAAAGAC